AACUAUUGGUUUAUAGAGAUGAGAUGCUCAAAGAGGUAGAUAAUACUUCUUCAAAGAGGAUUAAAGAAAAAGAAAAAGAAACAGAUAUAGGCAGUGAUCGUGAUGCCCUGACAAACAGGAAAUAGAGGGUCGGAUCUUGAGAUGGAUUGAAUUGUAAAACACUCUCCUAUACAAGAACUUUUUAAGUAUAUGAAGCUCUCUCUUUUGAGAAUAUUUUUGCCCUUUGGUGACCGACAGUUAGUUACGAAAUUAUAUCCCCAUACUUGUGCACUUCUGUAAGGAUUUCCACCAUAUGUUUAUUCAAUGGUAAGGCUAACUCUCCUAUCGGAAAAGAGGAUUUUGAUGGUGAAUUUUGGAGCCGGUUGUUUGUUCUCAAAUUCAAUCUUUAAUGAAGAGUAGCAGGCGGAUAAACUAAGACCCUGACAGUCGUCAAAGUUUCAGAAUUCAGACAAUUACCUUACAUCCAAAUAACAUUUUGAUUCUGUUAUAUUUACCAGAUGAAGAAAUCACAUGAAUAAGCUUUAUUCCUUUAUGUAUUCUGAUGAUUUCUUUCUGUGAUACGAGCUUUCCAAUUAAAAAGACCAGUCCACUACUAGCUGCAUCAAUACCUAGUUAUAAUUACAUUUGGGAAAAAAACUUAGCCGUAUUUAAAGGGAGAAGAAGAUCCCAGAUAUGCUGCUCCUUAGAGAUUUUAGCCUAUAUGACAGUAGGAUCAGGUACACCAUUCAGAUAUAUUGUCAUUCAUAAUUUGUAAUGGUACAACCUAGAUUAUGCACAAAUAUUUCACAUGUGCAUUAGUGAUGAUCCAACCUAGAUGAUGCACAAACAUUCUUCUAAUUUGUCAUCUCUUGAUAUUGCCGUAUCCUAGUUUGACUUGCUCUUCAAUCUAACCCCCCUUCUCACUUGGAGUAUAUUUUAUUUGACUUUUCAAAGUUCGGAUUCUAGAUGAAACUACCAUUGGAUAAAAAUAUUGCAUGUAGAAUAGAUUGUAAUUGCAAAUAACUACAUUGAUUUUGAAAUAGUAUUAUCGGAGAUGAUCCUUUACUUGAUCAAACAGCUCUUUAAAUUAUCUUUCAAAUAUGUCAAGCCUCUAGUUUAUGGCUGUUUCUCUAUAGUACCAGUUGGGAGAUGAUCCUUUACUUGAUUAAACAGCCCUUUAAAUGAUCUUUCAAAUAUGUCGAGCCUCUAGUUUAUGGCUGUUUCUCUAUAGUACCAGUUGUUGCUUCAUUGAAUUAUUGACUGCACAAGCCAAAAUUUUACGUUUACUAUUGUAUAAAUGUCUCUGUUUCUACCUUAUCCGGAUUUAAAUUUAAACUAAUUUUGUAGCUACAUGGAC
rnacentral:lncRNA from 1 species